rnacentral:rRNA from 1 species
UACGAAGGGGGCUAGCGUUGCUCGGAAUCACUGGGCGUAAAGGGUGCGUAGGCGGGUCUUUAAGUCAGGGGUGAAAUCCUGGAGCUCAACUCCAGAACUGCCAUUGAUACUGAAGAUCUUGAGUUCGGGAGAGGUGAGUGGAACUGCGAGUGUAGAGGUGAAAUUCGUAGAUAUUCGCAAGAACACCGGUGGCGAAGGCGGCUCACUGGCCCGAUACUGACGCUGAGGCACGAAAGCGUGGGGAGCAAACAGG